UGGAUUUAACGGUUUUAGCAGUGUGUGAUUUUAAACACGAGUAGAAUGUACACUGUUUUCACGGGGCAUAAACAUAUUUAACUAGCCAGCGCAUGUAGGCAGACUUGCAAGUCCUAAAGCGUGAGAGCUCUUGAUCCGUGGAAAUAUUCUGUAAAAUAUAUGUUUGUUAAGUACUUUUGCUAAAUAGAAUCAAGCAGUGCAUCGUUUUAAAUACGAGUAAGUUAGCAUGUAGGCUACACUGUUUAAACAUGCCUGGCAGCGGAUGUAGUAAAACUCGCAAGCUCUAGAUGUCCUGCCCAGUUUGUGAAAUAUAAUUUAUGUGUUUGAAACCGUAGUAGAGUGUGUAUUUGUUCACGUAGUUUAAAUGUUUAGCUGUCAGUUCUGUGUGAUAUCAGUGCAAAUCCUUAGGUAGCAUGUUUUACAUAACAAACUUCACCUUAAACCACGGUGCGUGUUCAAGUGUGCAUUUUUACCGUAAACAAAAUAGAUUCACGUGUUGCUACUCCACAUGCCCUUGCUGUCACAAAACUAGAAGUUUUGAGAGUACAGAAAUGGUUGCUCAGAGGAUGUGAAAGGCAUGAUUCUUCUACCUCUCUCCUGUUUUGAUGAGAAAGAGGAGCUCCUCCAUUAUGUAGAAGAGACAAGCCUGGCAAAGGAUGUGGAGUUAGAAAACCUGCCUGUGACGCCUUGCAUUAUUGUGUGUGGACCCUCCUGCUAUGCUGCUGUCCGAUUCAUGCUAGCUGUGGACCGCAAGAUUGUGAAUGAUGACAUCACUUCUUUCAUCUCUGCUGUUUGCCUAAUGUUCUGCAGUUAUUACUGCUCCAAAAUUAACUACCCUACUGAACUGGCGUCAGUGCUUGAAUUCCUGCAAAGGUGUUUUUUUCAUCAUCAAUCCGGAGAAAGGGAAUAAAGGAGGUGGAAAAGAAAAACAAAAAGCUACUCCCAGUCUUCACCCUAAUCGCUGACCUUUCUGAUCAUGAAUGGCGAGAGACUUUGUAAAGGUGGUCUGCAGACUGUUUCCAAGUUUAUACUCGGGGUGAGAGACUUUGUAAAGGUGGCCUACAGACUGUUUCCAAGUUUUAAUCUCUUAAAGGGUUAUUUCAGGCUUGAAUCAAAUUUUCCCCAUGUUUUACUUACCCUCAAGGCAUCCUAAGUGAAUGUAACUUUCUUCUUGAGGAAUAAUGGAGUCAGAGUAAUAAUACCACGUAUCCUUUUACUUCCAAGCAGUAGAAUGGGAGUGAAUGGGGGGCAAUUUUUUAAAUCUCCAAAAAGUGCAUCCAUUGAUCAAAGAGCGGCUCGACACGGCUCCGUGGUCUUAACAAAGGUCUUCUGAAGCGAAUCCAUGCGUUUGUUUAAGAGAAAUAUACAUAUUGACAACGCUAUAAAGGAUAAUGUCCAACAUCCGCUGCAGGCGAGCGAGAGGCUUGUUUCUCCGGCAAAUGACGCAGAGUCUUCACCCUAAGUAAGUUCCUGUGACGAACACAGCAUUUUUCGUUUUCGCCAAUAUAAACACCGCCUCUUCUGGGCGGGAGCUUUCGUCGCCAUCAUUUAACGGAAAAACAAGCCUCUCUUUCGCCUGCAGCGGCUGUUAGACAUUAUCCUUAAUAGCGUUGUCAAUAUGCAUAUUUCUCUUAAACAAACGCAUUGAUUCGCUUCAGAAGACCUUUGUUAAGACCACGGAGCCGUGUCGAGCCGUUCUUCUUUCAUCGAUGGAUGCACUUUUUGGAGCUUCAAAAAAUCCCCCCCAUUCACUCACAUUCUGCCGCUUGGAAGUCAAAGAAUACGUGGUAUUAUUACUUUGAUUGCAUUAUUCUUCAAGAAGAAAGUCACAUUCACUUAGGAUGCCGUGAGGGUAAGUAAAACAUGGGGAAAUUUUGAUUUUAAGCAUGAAGUAUCACUUUAAAGGGAUAGUUCUCCCCAAAGUGAAAAUUCUGUCAUUUCCUCACUCUCAGGUUCUUCCAAACCUGUAUACAUUUUUUGUUCGGUUAAACAAAAAGGAAGCUAUUUAUAAGAAUGUCAGUAACCAAACAGAUCUUAUCCCUCAUUUACUGCCAUAGUAGGGAAAAAAAAUACUAUGGGAGUCAAUGGGGGAUGAGAUCUGUUUGGUAAAUGACAUUCUUACAAAUAAAUUCCUUGGUGUUUAGCAGAACAAAGAAAUAUAUACAGUACAGGUUUGACAUGACAAGAGAGUGAGUAAAUGAUGACAGAAUUUUCAUUUUUGGGUGAAGCAUCACUUUAAAUGUAGACUGGACUGAACGAUUUUAAUUAAACCACUGUAUACCAGUUGAAACACGAGAACAGAAAAAUGCACUAAUAUUUUGUCUUAAAUGCCUGCCAGUCUUUAUUAAAGAUACUUGGGACCUCACUGAUGUCUUUGUCUUUUAUAGAUUUUGAUGGGUUUUGAUGAUUUGAUUUAGGUUUGCAAAUGUAAGAUAUUUAUCAAUUAGUUUAACAGUAAUUUUAAUAGUUUCUUAAAGGUUAAAUCUGAAUGUUUAGCAAAUAAUUAUAGAGUUUAACUGUAAUUAUUACAACAUAAACCUUUAAAUUAGACAGUGCUGAACUGUAAAAAAGAUGGUUAUGAACCGUAAUUAAUACAAUGUAAACCUUUAAAUUAGAAAGUGCUGAACUGUAAAAAAGAUGGUUAUGAACCGUAAUUAAUACAAUGUAUAUCCUGGAAUUUGACAGGUAUAAACUGUUUUUAUAACAGCAUAAACAAGUAAAUUAGACAGUUAUGAACCGUAAAAAAGAAAAUUAUUAACUGUAAAAUAUACGGUACAGUGGGUGCAAUCCCGUAAAACCAAUAACGUUGCAACCGUACUUUUGACGGUAAAGUUCUGGCAACCACAGCUGCCGGUUUUUUACCGUAAAAUUUACGGAAUAUUUUUUACAGUGUACUG